rnacentral:lncRNA from 1 species
CUUGUGAGCACACCCACAAUGUUGACUAUGAGUAGAUUAUCACUGCCCCACUGUUCAUUGCGUACACCGGACAAUGCAGACCCACACAAGGGCCCAAUGGGCCAAGGUGUCAAAUCAUUAACCGUCAUGAGCGGAUGCACCAAACUUACGAGCUUGAGAAAAUCGGAUGGUUGGGCAACUCCCCCUUGACUUCAUUGGAUGGAUGGUUGGCG